rnacentral:sRNA from 1 species
AAGACACAACAUGUGCCCCUAAUUGUACACUCGCCACCCUUUCCAGGCCCAGUGGAGAGGACUGGAGGCAGGGAGGCAGUCCCUGCCUGCGACAAACCGACAGAGAUAGAGGGUCUUGUGCUGUCCUUGGGCACAGGACUGGGGCUUUGGGUGACAGAGCCUGAGUCAAGGCCAAGGGGCUCCCAGGCACUCUCUCUCUCUAGCCCAUCCCCUCCCCACCACAGUGGGGCUGCAUGGCCUCACCUUCUCUGCCUCCUCGCGGCUCAUGGCUAGGGCCAGCUGCAGCUGCAGUUCCUCUUCCCCUGACGUCUGAGGCCGGGCCUGCUCCAGGUCGGAGGUAUAGCGGGGUGACGAAGAGGAGGCUGCAAUGACCAUCAUGUCUGUGUGACCACACGAUUACCCAUCGGCUCCCACACCCCUCUGCCUGCCAGGAAGCUGAGGCUCAAAGAAGAGAACUGAGAGGAGGGGAACAACGGCCGUGGAGGCCCCCGUGGGCCAAGCAGUGUGCCAGGCACUCUAUGAAACAAUGGAGGUAGGUGAGCUUAUCCCCAUUGUACAGAUGAGGAAACUGAGGUUCGGAGAACUGGUUGCCCAGGUCACACAGCUUGGAGGAAGCAGAAUAUAGAAUGCUAUCUGACUCCAAACCUGUGCUUCCACCGUCAUGCCAUCCUAUCAGGCAGCUAACGAAUGGUAAUCAAUCUAUAACAACAUUAUUAGCUGA